rnacentral:rRNA from 1 species
AUUGAACGCUGGCGGCAGGCUUAACACAUGCAAGUCGAGCGAGCGGCGGACGGGUGAGUAAUGUCUGGGAAACUGCCAGAUAGAGGGGGAUAACUACUGGAAACGGUAGAUAAUAACGCAUACCAUCAGAUGUGCCCAGAUGGGAUUAGCUAGGAGGUGGGGUAAUGGCUCACCUAGGCGACGAACCCUAGCUGGUCUGAGAGGAUGACAAUCCACACGUGAACUGAGACACGGUCCAGACUCCGUCGGGAGGCAGCAGUGGGGAAUAUUGCACAAUGGGCGCAAGCCUGAUGCAGCCAUGCCGCGUGUAUGAAGAAGUCCUUAGGGUUGUAAAGUACUUUCAGCGGGGAGGCGUUACCCGCAGAAGAAGCACCGGCUAACUCCGUGCCAGCAGCCGCGGUAAUAC